UACGUAGGGGGCAAGCGUUGUCCGGAUUUAUUGGGCGUAAAGAGCGUGUAGGCGGCCAAGCAGGUCCGCUGUGAAACUCGAGGCUCAACCUCGAGACGUCGGUGGAAACCGUUUGGCUAGAGUCCGGAAGAGGAGAGUGGAAUUCCCGGUGUAGCGGUGAAAUGCGCAGAUAUCGGGAAGAACACCCGUGGCGAAGGCGGCUCUCUGGGACGGUACUGACGCUGAGACGCGAAAAGCGUGGGGAGCGAACAGG
rnacentral:rRNA from 1 species